GGGCAGUCAAUGAUUGAUAAAAAUAAUCUUUUAGCUUUGGGAGAAAAAUAAAAGCUCAGGCUUUUAUACAGAGAGAGAGAGAGAGAGAGAGAGAGAGAAUUGAAAAGAGAACCAGAGAGAGAGAGAGAGAGAGAGAGAGAGAGAGAGAGAGAGAGAGAGGUGUGAAAGGCAGGUGAUGGAGGACAGAGAAAAAGAAAGAGAGGUAAUAAUACUUAAUUAGUAAAAAAUGAAAUGGGUAUUGUUUCUGGGUUUGGGAAUCAGUUGAAAGACAGUGAAGAAAGCCUGCAAGAGAAUCCAACCCCUAAACAUGGUAAUGCUUAGGAACUGACCAUCCUUAUUAUUAAGAUUUAAGGUUCACCUUCUCCUUUUCCUUUCUCUGUAACCAAACAAAAUAUGUAUCCUUAAACUUAUACCUAAGCUUAGCUAGCCUGCCAAUUCAAGCUUUUUCUUUCACUUUUUCCUUUUUCUGCAUCUCCACCACAACCACCACCACUAACCCACCUAGCCACUCGAUAUUCUUACAACAGAUCACAUACAUAAAAGAAGAAGAAGAGGGCCUCAGAUGCAAUUAGGUACAGCUGGUGAAAUUGGGUUGUGCAGUUUUGUAUUUUGCAUGGGGACCUGUGGGGUUAUAUGAUUUAAAUCUUGAAUAACUACUGCUCCAAGAAAUUAGAGAGAGAGAGAGGCUCUACCCAGAAACAGAAGAGGGUGCAAAAGAAAGAGAUUUCAUCUUGUUUUCAAGGAAACUUUAUCUGGAAUGGAUUACUGGAAGAGAAAAAGCUCAGUAAGCUUCAAGAAAAAACCNNN
rnacentral:lncRNA from 1 species